rnacentral:rRNA from 1 species
ACGAACGCUGGCGGCGUGCCUAACACAUGCAAGUCGAACGGGGGUAGCAAUACCUCAGUGGCGAACGGGUGCGUAACACGUGAAGAACUUGUCCAUCGGCGGGGGAUAGCCGGCCCAACGGCCGGGUAAUACCGCGUACGCCGGUUGAAGCGCAUGCUUCGGCCGGGAAAGCAGCAAUGCACCGACGGAGAGCUUCGCGGCCUAUCAGCUAGUUGGCGGGGUCAAGGCCCACCAAGGCGACGACGGGUAGCUGGUCUGAGAGGAUGGCCAGCCACAUUGGGACUGAGACACGGCCCAGACUCCUACGGGAGGCAGCAGUGGGGAAUAUUGCGCAAUGGGCGAAAGCCUGACGCAGCGACGCCGCGUGCGGGAUGAAGGCCUUCGGGCCGUAAACCGCUGUCGCGAGGGACGAAAAUCUGACGGUACCUCGAAAGGAAGCACCGGCUAACUCUGU